CUGUUGGUAGUUGUCGUUAGCUAUACCAGGUGUAAACAAAGCAGAACACAGUAUUUCAUACUUACAAACACCAUUGCACCGUGUUCACAGUUAGACGUUGGGCAGCACAACAUAAACCACUUAUUUAAUUUCACAAAAACAAAACAGAAGGUCUAAUAAAUAACACAUAAUGAGAGCUUUCAUUGUCUAUCUUUACUGUUGAUGCACUGCGCUGCCAUCUUGGAUUAUGACGUUGUCGUCAAGUUAGGGUUGGUGGGAAUCGUCCGACUUUCUGAGUCGGAAAUCCGACUUCAGGGGUGCGUUCCAGAGGAAUUUCGACUCAGAGCUCGGAAAUUCUGACUUCCGAGUACAAAACCAACAUCAUCACAAAACCAACAUGGAACACCCAUGACCUUUGACCCCUCAGAUAGCACUCUAUUAAAAACCCCCAUCAGGCUCAGGAACACAGAAAAAACUAUUGUCAGUUCACACCGUUCGUCUCUACAUCUACAAGUACAAGUUCAAACUCCACCACACAAAGCCUGAGCCAGAUAUCAGCUGGACCUGAACUCAUCUGAGAUGGACUGACGAGUCCACAUUUCGAACAGUAAUUAGUAAUUUGGUAAUUAGCUCACAGCUCGCGUCCAUGUUGCCAUUGUGACAACCAUCUGCUGCACUGAGAGUAUGUCUUUCUGAGGGUUUAUGCCAACAGAAAUGCUGACUAAACCGUCCUCUAUGUUGCCCGUGCAGCUAGAAUGAGAUACGAACAAGAAAACCAUCAAACUGGAUCAAUGUUGCUGCAGAUAAAGCUUCAAAAGCACAUUCUUUAUCGAGUGUGUAAAGUUCCCUCCUCUCACUCUGCUGACUUAUUCUCAUUCCUGAGGUACUUCCACACCUGACACACACAUGGAGGGUGUGGUGAGCCGGGAAGCCACGAGCCAAUAGACACAGAGGCUCGUGGACACACACACGUACACACACACACACAUGCGUUGCCUCCCUGGUAGUUUUCCACAGAAAUCUAAGCCUGGGAUGUGAAUGAUGCUUUCACACAAAAUGGCCACGGCUGGACAGGUUUCAAAAUGGCACAGAGCUUUCUUUUAACACGUUGGGGCAGAAAUCUCGGGUUUUAAUGAUGCUACUUUGCGGCAACGUUUCGCCCUCAAGACAGAGCAUGAGGCCCAGUCUGCUUUCACAAAUAUAGCGCUGCAUUGUUUGUCGAUGUCUGCACACACUCACACUCUGUGCUCCAGACACUUUGAUACUCCUCCAGCCGAUCCAUGUGCAGGAGUUUAUCUCUUUAAGAAGUUUCACCUCCUGUGGACAGCAAAACUCCUCGUAUAAGUCGGGCGAAGAUAUGAUCUUAGAAACCCGGGGAAACAAAUCAAAAGACUGGAUCAGUGUGGUUGGUUUUGAUUAAACCUCUUUGCCAAGGCUCAAAAAAUAUAUACGUCUCACUUUAUCCAAAUAUUGCACUUCGCGGUCUGAGAAAAACACCCAGAUAGAGGUUGCAGGAGGACAGCAGCCAUGUUGAAAUACACUGCCCCUACUGUAAUCAAAUGUUUGAUUUAUACCUUAUAGGAUUUAUUUGAAGGUUAAAAGUUGAAAAAACCUGCAAGAAAGUCUUUAAAGUGUUGGCGUUAAAACUUUACCCCAUCCUGAACCUCUAUGUGCUCUUGCUUUCACUCAAUAUUUCUAUCCACACUUCAGCGUUAUCUAACCAUAUCAUCAUAACGUUUUGAAUGCUGGAAUAAAACAAUGAGAGCUGGAUCAGAGACAUGCUCAUGAGGUCACAAAUCUCAGUCAGAGUUUGGAAACGUCUUCUCAAAACUGUUUUAUCAUUAGGCACCAAAGUACCAAGUGCUGAGCUGUUAACAAAGAGCCGUCUUUGCAAAACAGAGUCUCAGAAGUAGAAAGGGACUGUUGCAUCAAAGCGCUUGUUUCAGUUAUUCUACCACUGGGGACGAUAGAGAAGAAGAGAAGAGCUUAACCCCAAAUUUCCACCGCAUAUGGAACGGCCGCUAAUUCCUAUGUGAGAUGAAUUUCGGACAGCAGGAAUCGCAAGAACCUAUGAAAUCAUACGAUGAUGAGUUGUCUCAAUAAAGACAGGCACAUAACCAUAUUAGCGGUAGACUGUGUCCUUCCAAAGGAGGAAAUCCAUUCUGUUCAGACCAGUAGAUCAGACACUACAGUGGAGAUUGAGAAUUAACCAUGGGUAAGUGCAAUAUUUAUCUUUAUCUAAGAAACAAACCACGUUUGCAUGGUGUGAAAUGGAAAAUGGAAAUGAUCAGCAGCGAUCAGCGCUGAUAGCCUUUUCACUGCCGUUCCGCAUACGGUGAAAAUUUGGGGUAAGGGCACAGCUGUUCUCUAAAGAGCUGAAUCCGGUAAUUAAUUUCAACACAGAGGAACAACAGAGAAGAAGAGUCAGGCUAUUGACUUUUGGGAGCACCAGGAACCCUGUUGUGGCAGGGUGUGGCAAGCGGGCAGGAGUGUAGACCUGCAUGAGGGGCUGCAGGUGGGCAGGAGUUGUUUAUGCAGCAGUUUUAUCAGAGAGAGGUAAGGCUUUAAAUUUGAUGUGGAGUAGAGAGAGAUGGAAAGUGACGUGAAGAGCAGUUUUGGGAUGGUUGAAGACCAGAUGCGAUGCUGGAUUCUGGAUCAUCAUGCAUGAAGGGAGGCCUGCAAGUAAAGAGUUGCCGUGGUCAGUGCCUGAUAUUACAAGAACCUGUACCUGGAGCUGUGUUGUGUGCUCUGUCAGGUACCCACCCGGCAAAAAGUGGUGGAAAAGACGUAGAAAAGAGGUCUUCAUAUGUCUAAACAACAUCUAGAUUUGGACUGUCUAAAUAAAGCCCAGUUUUGGACGUAUUUCUUGGGCUAAAUUACAGCCAUGACGGGCCAACGUGACUUAGCCUGAAAAAAGACGUUUUAAUGACGUCGAGUGUCAUAGGGCAGAAAAUGUCUUACAGGAGCUUUAAGCAAACACAUGAGCAGAUUUAGAUUUUUUGUAGGUCCACAUUCACUUUCAUGAGGUUGAGAGCUUGUAUUUUUGGCGACUUUUUAAAUCAGUAACUAAUGCAACAUGGGGGAGAAACUAUUUUUUUACUUUAUUGGCGCCAAAAAAGUGAUUUCAGUCUUUUUUUACAGUAAAGUUUGUCUAAUUGGCACCAAACAGAAAUCUGGAGCGGUAACACUUUGGUUACCGCAGUUUCUAAGUUUGUUUCCAAGUUUUUCUUUUACAUUUGCAUGACCUGAGAAGCCCGCCUCGUUGCCGCGGUAACGCCGAUGAUAAGGACAAGUAUCUGGUUCCCAUUUCUUUGAAAUGAUACGUUUUAAGGAGGAAUCUCCCUGCGGUGGAUGAGUGGAAGGAGUGGUUGCUAUGCUGCGAGCGGGCGGUUGCCAUGUUGGGCAGCAACCACAGGGCUAGCAAACAAACAUCUCUUCUCUGAGUCACACUCGGCCUCCCUCUCUCUCUCUCUCUCGCUCGCUCACCCUCUCCCCAGUCCACGGAGUUCCCUCGCUAAAACCGUCCUGACUUGCCGUUUGUCUGUAAUUACGCCUGAUUCCUCCCUCGCUCACUUUCAGUUCCUCUCUCUCUCUCUCACACACACACACACACUCUCUCUCUCCUCAAGCCGGGACACUACACACUCUGUUACCUUCUCUCGGCCUUUUCCUGCUCGCUCCACUCACACACCCUUCUGACAAAACACCCCCUGGAUGAUAUUUAUAGGGAGUCGCCCCCCUCCCCUCCCAUUUUCUUUCCACCUUGUUCCACAAACAAGCACUCCACUCCACUCCACUCAAUCCUCUCUCUCAUUACGGCCUCAUCUGGUAUGCAUGGUUCAGCCCCCUGACCGAGUGUGGCGGUUUGUUUGGCCUAAUUCAUCAGCAGGUAUAAGACGAAGAACAGACCAGAACAGCGGGGGGCCACUUUUGAGGGAAUCUGCCUCUAUUUGGACUCAAUUUGCAUCUUAUUUUUAGAAGAAACUCUGGGACGGAGGUGAAAAAGAAAUAAAGACGCCAACUGGGUGAAACAUUCAUGCACAGAGAAAGUAUUUGUAGUCCUUGCAGUCACUUCAUCUUUGGCGUGGUUCUGAGCUUUUGGGUCUCAUUGUUACAAGCAUGUAAACUAAGGAGCAGUCUGUAAAAAAAGGAGGUAAAGAGAGGAAAGACAAUGUCAGAAUCCUCUGUUAACACAACCUGCAGCACGGGUGGGAGGAUGGGCUUGGCUCAGAGUUCAAGGGUCACACCUGGUGACUCCUCACAGGAGGAAAAUAAGGAGGAUGAGAAGAGCCGUUUGUUUCAGCAGAGCAGCAGCCGGUCAGGGGUGUGCGAGGUGUCUGGAGACUGACACGGAAAGAGCUGCAUGCAGAAGAAAAAGUCCCGCGUCUGAUUAAAGCGAGACUGAAGUUCUACUAAAAGGUGCAGCAUGUUUGCUUUUAAAAUGAGUGUGUAAUCAAUCUGAAGAUAAGGAUCAUUUAAGGAUCAUGUGACCGUACAGACGCCAACAUCUUGCUCCUCAGUGUUUCUACAGGAUGCACAAACUAGUAACAUGAAUGUACUUUUUGUAUAUUUGCGUUUUUGCACAGAUAGAGGUGUCUUAAUUAGGGCUGGGUGAUAUGGCCUCAAAUCAAUAUCACGAUAUAUUGAGCAGUUCACUUCGAUAAUGAUAAAUGGACGAUAACUACUCCACAAAAAAAGUUUAGCCAAUAGAUGGGGCUGUGGCAGUUAUAUUGACAGUAUGAUUCCCCUGGACGCAUUUAUUGCAAUUUUUUGAUGCAGGGCGGCGUCUUAAAGGGACAUGAGACUGUAGCCUACCAACACACAUCCAAAAACAACUUUUAUUUAUCUAUUUUUCUGACACAGAAUAUACUGACACAGGCAAAAUGAUGUCAGUUAUUGACAUAAAUUUUGGUAUCAGUGAAUUUUCAGUGUAUCGCCCAGCCCUAGUCUUGAUGAUAAAAACUUGACAAAUGGAGGAUCACACUCAUCAUGCAUCAGAGGAGCUUCUUAACCUUGAAGGCCACCAUUGUUACUCCAACAAGAGGAGUGAGCAUGGGGUGUUUCACUCCAGAACCUGACCUCUGAGGUUCAAUCAAGUUCACUCAUGGCAGGACAGAAAAACAGCAAGAAGUCUCAAGAAGUCUUUGAGUCAAAUGAUGGAUGACAGAAAGCCGUGCUACUGUAUGUUUUCCAAACAGAUGAGAAAAAGCUGAAGUUAUAAUCAGGAUAUCAGGAUUUAUAAGAUGUUUUUGCCUUUCUCCUCCUCUUCAAAGAUUGUACUUGAAGCAUUGGCGCACGUCUUUGUUGUGUUGCAUGUUUCAGAGGGUUCGAGUCAAGAAAUGACACAGCGGUUGAGCCUCUUAAGUGGAAAAAUCGUGGCCCUAGGACGUGGGUUCAGACAGGUUGGCAGAGUAGAGUUGACUGUCAGAGUGAGGAGUAAAGAAAGGAGGAAGGGAGUGAAGCUGAACUCACUCUGGGAGUGGCGGACUGGGCGGGGUCAUUUACACAGAGGGUUUUCAAAGAGUGCAACCGCAGCACAGCCUGAUAUUUAGAUCCUCUGUGAACUGACAGAAGAUGGCUGCAGUUAUGGGAAAUCAUUAAAAACUUGAAGAUAUUACUUUAUUGAGGGAGAUGAUUGAUGAAUAAUAAGUAUCUAAACUUUGGUGGGUUUAUAACCUAAUUAUAUGUUACCAUAGAGUGGUCAGCAGAAGGAUGUAGACAAAAAUCUCUGAAUGCUCUAUUAUUUUACUGGAGUGUACAGACGGUCAAAUAUGAUCAUAAAAGAUGGAGAAAGAUCCACAUUUAUGCAGAAACUUCAGUUUACAACAGCUUUUAAAAUAAGAAAUAAAGUAUAUGUUGUCUUAGAUAAAUCAUUUAACCCCCCUGAUCCUUUUGCUCCAAGGCUGUUGGACUACAGUGUGAAGAUGGGCACAUUGACGAGUUAGACACCACCUCGAGUUAGACACAACUCUCCAAACUCUCCUCCAGCAGCCGCUUGUUUGUGGGGGAGCCCCGACAAGUCAAUCACUGAGUGCAGCGGAGUUUCGCAGCUCAAGGAAGAACAUUUAUGAUUAUUACCUCAUGGAAAUGAGACGGUGAGGCAGAAGAACUGCAGUGAAAAAUGAUUAUUAUAAUGAUUAUUCAUAAUGGAUAUGAUCCGCUGCAUUCAGUGCUCAACUCGUCAGGGCUCCCCCACAAACAAGCAGCUGCUGGAGGAGAGUGGGUGAGUUGUGUUUAGUCUCUUUGCUAAAGAAACCAGGCAAAGCUAAAAAGAUGUUUGAUGGCUAGUACUAUGGCUGACUAAACAAAUAUGGCGACUGAAGCUGGUCAUAAGUCGUAUUGAUGCCGUAGCGUAGCCCCCUGCCAUUAAAUUGGGCUCUAGAUCAGAUUAUAGGCUACUGCCAUAGCGCUGUGAUGCUCUACUACCUGGAUGUAAACAAGCAUAGGCGAUAGAUGGCAUCUCACAGCAGGGCAAGGUUCUGUAAAAUUUUGACCUAAGAAAUGGAAAUGAAGUAGUUUGUAGAUUUUAUUUGACUUCUGGCAGCCAUUUUUACUAAAAAACAAACACAAACUGAUCAUUUUGAAAAUCAAUUAUCCAUUUAAUAUUGAUGCUGGAUGGUGCCAUGUUUAAACCUUCAUAUGGAGAGAAAGAGCUGCACAGAAAUCCCCCCACACUCCCGUGCAUAAUAUACAUUUACUUAAUAUAGAUUUUCACUGACAUCAUCGUGGUCAACUGUGGAAACUAUGUGGCUACAAUCCCCACAAACAGGAGAAAUCCACUUUAUACCACACACACGCACACACGCACGCACGCACACACACACACACACACACACACACAUACACACACACACACACUCAUACAACUACAGGGAUUGAUGAGAUGAACUAUGAUAUGAGUCUGAGGUUUUAUCCCUGUGGUGGAUUGGUAUCCUUUACAUGAAGUGGGUUUAUCAGGAGGCGGACAGAGAGGUCUGAAAGUGACAGAGUCAGCACCUCUAGUGGAGAAAAGCAGACAGGUUCACAUGGAGAAGAGACGGAAGGAGGAAUCUAAAAUGUAUGUUUCCUUUAAAUCCUGUAAGUAGUGUUUAGUUUACAUGUGUGUCUUAGUGAUAAAGAAGUUUUAGAGUUUAAGAGUGUUCAAGUCCAAUAAAUUUAGGUGAGGGUUUGGAUAAGGAUCUGGGUCUUAGGUUUGGUUGUUAAAGGCUUGUCAUAUUUCUGUGGGGUGUGAACUGUUCCACCGGGCUUUAAUAUCUGAAUAAACUGAAUGAUCUCUGCAGCCGAAAUACGAAAGACUAAUAAUCAAAUAUACCCAGACCUCUCCCACAGAGUAGACUAAACAUACAAAACAAUAAAUAAAUGUAAAAAUCAAACCAAACUGCUCAUAAAAUACUCAUUAAAAAAAUGAAACAUCCAAGACACAAAUCUAAAGUUCCUCACUGGAGCUUUGAGGGCUUUAAGUUAACGGUGAAAUCUGGGGGCGGGACAAGGCUGCAGGUGCAGAAUGAUUGACACAUUCCUCUGCAAGUGACUGAAGGCAUGGCAAAGCAGGGCUGCAGAUCCCGCUGGUGGUCACUCCAGAGAUGUUCUGCAGAAAUUCUAGCAUGGUUUUAGACAAAUCCUCCUGCUGCGUAUGAGUUAUGGGUCCAUCCUGACUUCAGGACAUUUGGCAGUCAAAGACAGAGGUUUUCCUGCCAAAAUAAGUUAAUAUUUGAGCGGUACCUCCUGAUACCAGACUGAUAGGACUGGAGAGGCUUGUUUAGAGAUUUAAAGUUUUGGUUCAGCUCAUUUUAGUGUCUUAAAUUUAUUAUACUACUUCUUGAGUUUUUCAGCUACAGUGCAUUUAUUUCUAAUCCUCGAUACUAGAUCAAAAUCAUAUACUGGAUGGACGCUGUCUGCCUCCACGAGAACAGCGCCCUCUGGUGACGGGCUGCAGUAUAGGUCAUAAAUUCCACCAAUGCUACUGCGCGAGUGGUGGUUUCAGGAAGUGGAGAAAAUCCUGGAAAUACAAUUUCGGCUUCAAACGGAAGGUGUAGCCAAGUUGUCUGUAGUAUGUAUCAAAAUGCAGGGAUUGAACCAUCAGGUAGGACCGCCAACAGUCAGAUAUAACCUCACAGGAACAUCUCUGUCACACAUGUUGUUUAUUCCUGCUGCGUUUCAGUGUUUACUGGAGCCGUGCCGUGCCGCCUCGCUGAGUAACAUCCCUGACACCUUCGUACUAUCAAACUGAUCACGUGCAACCAUCCGUCUUUGCAGAGCAGCGCCUCACUGCGAACUGAACACCCCACUGUUUGUGCAUGUUGACAGACUGCGAGCUUAAAUUUGUGUUUGUGUGCAUUAAAGCCAGACUUUGACAUUCAUCUCUGUGGCUAAAGUGAAAGAUGUUUUGUUGAGAUGAGUCAUGAAUCAAAAGGAUGUAAAAUAGCAGCAAACUCAAACAUGCUGCUCCUUUUAUAGAAGACAUUCUUCAUGAGUUCGUCAUGCAGAAAUUAACUCCAGCAGACGUGCUGCACAUGGACUCUGACAUCCUACUUCAAAUGGAGAGUGAGAGAGUUUAUUUUAAGUGUCGGCUAUUUUUAGAUGUUCGGUCUGGGCUGGUCUCGAAUUAGAUUUCACAUUUAACCCAAAAGGUCAAAUUUAAAAAAAAAAAAAGAAAAAGAAAAGAAAAAAAAAAGAAAUCUGGGCUCCUCUGGGAUCGGGCAGGGCUGGGAGAAUAAACAUUAUCUGUCAUUUUCUGGGCAGAUGGAUAUAAACUCUCUGGUUCACGUCCAAAGACUUAAGAAAGGUUUAGAAGACUGUCCAACCUGAGCUUUUUAGUGGAAAUUGAUGAUUUUCUUCCACAUUUAAGGCAUUCCACCUCAGAGAAUAACCACCUCCACCUGUCUUUUGUUGUUUUUACUCUUUUAUUUUCAUGAGGAUCCAAAGAUCUGAUGUGCAGCUUUGCUAAUAAAGACCUAUUGCCAGUCUGCAACUUGUAAUAUUACACUUCAUCUCCAAGUUUUUGCAUAAAUAUGAUUUGUGACACCAGUUUUAACCUUUUCAAAGAUACUUAAGUGUGUCAAACACAAGCAGCACAUGUUCUGAUUCUAGCUGCUGAAUUUAAAUGAUAAGACGAUCUUCUUAAGGUGGAUAACUAAAGAGUCAGUAAUGACUACAUGACAUUUGGCAGAGAACAUUAAGGCAGCUGGUUUUUCUGCCAAAAUAAGAUUCUUGAGAUUACAUGAAGUGGUGCCUCCUGACACCAAACUGAUAGAGCAGUUUGAUAGAGCAGGUUAAGUUAAUCAUAAACAUGAAAUAAUAACUGCAGUUACAUUUUCAAAAAGCAAGAACCGAAGAACUAAAACUUUGACGGCUGCAUAAAAGAACAGUUCACAAUCAAACCCCAAACACUCCCACACACUGUCAUCUGAUUACUCACAAAUACAGCGUUCUGCAAAGGCGGUAAACACAGAGACAGAAUCUCGUUCAGUUCUUGGCACUUUUGAACCAAAGUGUUUUCAGACUUGAGUCGUGUAUUAACCGUGACACCUUGUUAUUUUUCUUUGACUCUGUAGUUACCAAUAAGCAUCACAAAUUUAUCACAGUGUAAAAUACAUUUAAAAUGUGUUCGUAGAGUUUUGAAAAAAGGGAUAGAGAGAUCUGCAAAGUGCGUCUGGAUCAACUACACGAGCAUUUGGAUAAGAGCGUGGGAUCUGGUGUUUUGGCAACCGUGAGAAACUGUAACUGUGUGAUUCUGCAAGUGCAUAUCAGGUCAGAGUAGAAGAAGAUGAAGCAGGUCUGGUUGAGGAACAAGGCGCUUAGGUGGUUCAUAAUUCUUUAAAAACAAUCACCAUAGUGUUCACCUGCAGCAACAACCAAAGGCACAUUAGUUGGGAAUCUGUUUUGCUGGAAAAUUUGCACUGGGUGAGGCAAACGCUGGCAUCGAAGACGCAAAACGCUCAGAUUUUUUUCCCCAAAAAUGGUCUUUCUAAAUCUUUAUGACCUUUCACCAAAACAUCCAAACAGUUCUGCACCGAAACAGGCCAUUCUUCUUCUCUGGAGGUUGCAGUUUGUAAUCUUAAAUCAUGCUCUCCAAACACAUAUUAACUCGUCACAGAUUUCUCACGGGUCGUUGUGCAUUCAUCAUUUUUAAACCAGCACCAGUCGUCAGUUCAGAAACAGCCGUGAGUUAGCAGCAACACAACGCAGAGAGAGAGAAUAAAGUUAAUUAGCUACAGCUCAGUUAAAAACAGGCUGAGCCUCCAUGAUUUCACCCUUCAGGAAUCUCACCUCUUCUCUUUCAGUCUGUCUCGCUCUCAAACACACACACACACAUCAGGUUGUGCCAGAGAUGUCAACAUUGUGCCAGAGUGAGACAAGCUUUCCUCAACAACCACUCAGGAAGUGGUGUGAGGCAGAUAACGAGCAAAUGGAAAGGGGGGAGGAGUGGGGGAGAGAUCUUGAAUAAGCAACACAAGUGUGGCCGGGCUACGGCUAAUUAAUAACAAGAAGGAAGUGUGUAAGAUUUGUUUUCUUUGUGCAGCUGAACAUGAAAUCAGAGCCGUUAUCUCGGACCCUCAGGUCUCCGGUCGACAUUCUUUAAUUGAUCCCCGUAGGAAAAACCGGGGUCAGAGGUCAAGCUGUGGAACAACAGCUGUAAUGCUAGUAGACAUCUUUAUAGACAGCCUUUCAGAGAGGUGGGAAAGUGAUAAGUGUUUCUUUGAGCCAUUGACAGGCAGUUAAAAGAUUCAUUUUAGUGUAUCUGUGGAGUGUAUGUAGCAGUACAAACACACACAUAGCCAGCAAGAGCUCAACAUGAGGGUACUCACUUUUGGAAGUCCAGGUCCUGGGCCACAUCCGUGAUGAGAUCUAAAAGAAAAAAAAGAAAAAAAAAAUGUGUCAAAAUCACCAACGAGUUAAACAAGCUGAGAGUUUUGAAAGUUUUUUUUUUUCCCAUAAAUUUGAAACAUAUUUUUUUGGAUUAUGAAAAUUUUUAAUGAAAUGUGAAAAUAAUUCAUGUUAAACAAAAAAAAAUAAAAAAGACAAAGAAUUUUUCACAAAAUUAUGAAAUAUUUUUACAAGAGCCAAAAUUAUUCUAAAAACACAAAUCAAACCUGUUAUGAGACCUAAAAAAAAAAAUGUCAAGAUCACUGACGAGAUAUAGCUGAGUAUUACAUAUUUUUUUUGGAUUAUGAACAUUUUUAAUGAAAUGUGAAAAUAAUUCAUUUUAAACAAAAAUAUAAAAAAAAAACAAAUACAUUUUUCAUAAUUAUGAAUAUUUUUCCAAAAGCCAAAAUUAUUCUAAAAACACAAAUCAAAAUGAAAAUAUUUUUUAUUUGUGUGUUUGUUUGAUUUUUUUUAUUUGUGUUGACUAAAAUUAUUUGAAUUAUAUCUAUAUAUAUUUUCCAAUGUAUUAAAAUAUAUUUUGUCAUUGUGAAAUGUUUGUGUAAUUUUACCUUUAGGGCUUCUGUACAAAACUCCAUGUUAAAAUGCCAGAGUUUAUACAGCAUAAUUGACAUUCCUGGUUCAAAAAGGGGCUGACUUUGAUCACACUUUGUUACCUUGGUGAUAAAUCGACCAGGUGAAGCUUUAUUUAAUCUGUAAAUUUUGAUUUUUGUUGUAUUUUCUCUGCAGUUUGUUAGCUUUUGCGUAUUUUUAAGCCUCAUUACUCUGCUCUUUAACCCUGUCACCUCUGCUCUUCCUCUCAUCACCCUCAUCUUUCACUCAUGCCUGUUUCUCCACCUCCACCCUUUUU